rnacentral:rRNA from 1 species
UACGAAGGGGGCUAGCGUUGUUCGGAAUUACUGGGCGUAAAGCGCGUGUAGGCGGGUCUUUUAAGUCAGGGGUGAAAUGCCAAGGCUCAACCUUGGAACUGCCUUUGAUACUGGAGAUCUUGAGUCCGGGAGAGGUGAGUGGAACUGCGAGUGUAGAGGUGAAAUUCGUAGAUAUUCGCAAGAACACCAGUGGCGAAGGCGGCUCACUGGCCCGGAACUGACGCUGAGACGCGAAAGCGUGGGGAGCGAACAGG